CCAUGCUUCCUUGCAUUCAAUAGUAUUUAUAUAAGCAUAUGGAAUGUAAAGAAGUAUGGAG
rnacentral:pre_miRNA from 1 species